rnacentral:rRNA from 1 species
GACGUGAAAGCUCCUGGCUCAACUGGGAGAGGCCGUUCAAUACUGCGGGGCUUGAGGACAGCAGAGGGGGGUGGAAUCCCGGUGUAGUGGUGAAAUGCGUAGAUACCGGGAGGAACACCAGUGGCGAAGGCGGCCCCCUGGGCUGAUCCUGACGCUGAAUGCGAAAGCUAGGGGAGCAAACGGGAUUAGAAACCCCGGUAGUCCUAGCCGUAAACGAUGGAUACUAGGUGUAGGAAGUUAAAAUACUUUCUGUGCCGGAGCUAACGCGUUAAGUAUCCCGCCUGGGGAGUACGGCCGCAAGGCUAAAACUCAAAGGAAUUGACGGGGACCCGCACAAGCAGCGGAGCGUGUGGUUUAAUUCGAUGCAACGCGAAGAACCUUACCAGGGCUUGACAUGUAGGUAGUAGUGAAGCGAAAGCGGAACGAUCCUUCGGGAAGCCUACACAGGUGCUGCAUGGCUGUCGUCAGCUCGUGCCGUGAGGUGUUAGGUUAAGUCCUGUAACGAGCGCAACCCUUGCCGUUAGUUACAUGUGUCUAACGGGACUGCCCGGCAAAACUGGGAGGAAGGUGGGGAUGACGUCAAGUCAGCAUGGCCUUUAUGUCCUGGGCUACACACACGCUACAAUGGCCGGUACAAUGGGUAGCCAAGCCGUGAGGCGGAGCCAAUCCUCCAAAGCCGGUCUCAGUUCGGAUUGUAGGCUGCAACCCGCCUACAUGAAGUUGGAGUUGCUAG